UACAGAGGGGGCAAGCGUUGUUCGGAAUUACUGGGCGUAAAGGGCGCGUAGGCGGCCUUCUAAGUCGAACGUGAAAUCCCCGGGCUCAACCCGGGAACUGCGUCCGAUACUGGAAGGCUUGAAUCCGGGAGAGGGAUGUGGAAUUCCAGGUGUAGCGGUGAAAUGCGUAGAUAUCUGGAGGAGCACCGGUGGCGAAGGCGACAUCCUGGACCGGUACUGACGCUGAGGCGCGAAAGCCAGGGGAGCAAACGGG
rnacentral:rRNA from 1 species